rnacentral:rRNA from 1 species
CCCUUAGAUGUUCUGGGCUGCACGCGCGCUACACUGAAGCUAUCAACACGUUUUCCCUCCCUGAGAAGGGCGGGUAACCUUUUGAAUCAGCUUCGUGGUAGGGAUCGGGGCUUGCAAUUGUUCCCCGUGAACCAGGAAUUCCUAGUAGACGCGAGUCAUAAGCUCGCAUCGAUUAAGUCCCUGCCCUUUGUACACACCGCCCGUCGCUACUACCGAUUGAACGUUUUAGUGAGGCAUUUGGACCGACGCAUCUCAGUUUAACCGCUGGUUUGUGUUGGAAAGACUUCCAAACUUGAGCGUUGAGAGGAAGUAAAAGUCGGAACA